GUGAGGAAUAUUGGUCAAUGGGCGAGAGCCUGAACCAGCCAAGUAGCGUGCAGGAUGACGGCCCUAUGGGUUGUAAACUGCUUUUACACGGGGAUAAAGUGUGCGACGUGUCGUUCAUUGCAGGUACCGUGCGAAUAAGGACCGGCUAAUUCCGUGCCAGCAGCCGCGGUAAUACGGAAGGUCCGGGCGUUAUCCGGAUUUAUUGGGUUUAAAGGGAGCGUAGGCCGUCUGUUAAGCGUGUUGUGAAAUGUAGAUGCUCAACAUCUGAAUUGCAGCGCGAACUGACCGACUUGAGUGCGCAGGAAGUAGGCGGAAUUCGUGGUGUAGCGGUGAAAUGCUUAGAUAUCACGAAGAACUCCGAUUGCGAAGGCAGCUUACUAAGCUACAACUGACACUGAAGCACGAAAGCGUGGGGAUCAAACAGGAUUAGAAACCCGAGUAGUCC
rnacentral:rRNA from 1 species